rnacentral:lncRNA from 1 species
CACGAAAAAAAUAGAUUGUUUUGCCUCAGGCGAAAAAAAAAAUUUGUCCAGAAAAAAAAAACCAUAGCCCCCCCCCAGAAAAUCAAGUGGUUGCUGCCUUAUAUUACUUUUACAUUUGUGAUGAAAUAUUGCAUUAUGAGUCAUAUAUUUUAUGUACAAUUGAGUUGUUUUUAUUUGAAUAUGCAAUAAAAUUAAAACUGC